UACGUAGGUGGCAAGCGUUGUCCGGAAUGACUGGGCGUAAAGGGAGCGUAGGCGGCGCAGUAAGUUAGGAGUGAAAGCCCGGGGCUCAACUCCGGGACUGCUUUUGAAACUGUGUGACUGGAGUGCAGGAGAGGUAAGCGGAAUUCCUGGUGUAGCGGUGAAAUGCGUAGAUAUCAGGAGGAACACCAGUGGCGAAGGCGGCUUACUGGACUGUAACUGACGUUGAGGCUCGAAAGCGUGGGGAGCAAACAGG
rnacentral:rRNA from 1 species